UCGUGGUACCUCAUCAUAUUUUUCCUUGGUGAACUUCUAUUGUAUUUUGAGGAUAAAGAAAGGUUUUUGAUUGUUACAUAAUAAAUAAAGACUUCCAAUUGGCCAUAGUAAUCGCAUUCUCUUAUAAAUAUGAUGCCCCUUUAAUUCUCAUCCUAAUUAAUUCAGGACAAGCUAAGCAAGAGGAAUUACAGUUCAAGAAAGUUAUUUAAGAGGGAUGGCACACUCUAUUGAGAUUACCCCAAUAAAUCAUCGAACUCCACUGCUUCAUCAACCUACAGAACAUGAGAUAGAAGAAGGGAGGAAUGUGGAGUUAAUCGAGACAAAUCAAAUUCUUGAUGAAAUAUAUUUAGAUUUGUACCAUUUAUCUACCAAAUCUUGUACCAUAUUCAGAGUAAGUGUCGGGCUAAGUGAAUCAAAUCCGGAUGCUUAUAAGCCAAUGUUGGUCUCUAUUGGUCCCUACCAUAAGAAGAUUACAACUACGCUUAAUGGACAAUUAUAAAUUGCAUUACUUACAACGGUUUCUCAGAAGGAAAGAAGGGCUUGAUGUGAAAACUUGCAUUACUGAAUUGGGAAAAUUGAAAGAUGAGACACUAAAGUGUUAUGAUGGUAUAGAAGAUAUUUAUAGUUACAACAAUACGGGUCAAUUUUUGAAAAUGUUGUUGGUUGAUGGUUGUUUUAUAGUUGAGUUUAUACGAGAGCGUUGUGGAAGGAAGCCAACAGAAGAAGACAUUAUUAUCCCCUACAGUUGCAUAGAUGGUCUAGUUCCAAUAUGCUACAGUAACGGGCUAAAUCGGGUCCGCCCGGCCCGAUUAGCGGGUAUACUUCGAGCACACUAAACUCCCCUACUGGUAGGAUAUAAUAGAGAUAUCUAGUGAAUUGAUCAAUAUGUGCACCAACUAAU